GAUGAACGCUGGCGGCGUGCCUAAUACAUGCAAGUCGAGCGAACGGACGAGAAGCUUGCUUCUCUGAUGUUAGCGGCGGACGGGUGAGUAACACGUGGAUAACCUACCUAUAAGACUGGGAUAACUUCGGGAAACCGUAGCUAAUACCGGAUAAUAUUUUGAACCGCAUGGUUCAAAAGUGAAAGACGGUCUUGCUGUCACUUAUAGAUGGAUCCGCGCUGCAUUAGCUAGUUGGUAAGGUAACGGCUUACCAAGGCAACGAUGCAUAGCCGACCUGGGAGGGUGAGCGGCCACACUGGAACUGAGACACGGUCCAGACUCCUACGGGAGGCAGCAGUAGGGAAUCUUCCGCAAUGGGCGAAAGCCUGACGGAGCAACGCCGCGUGAGUGAUGAAGGUCUUCGGAUCGUAAAACUCUGUUAUUAGGGAAGAACAUAUGUGUAAGUAACUGUGCACAUCUUGACGGUACCUAAUCAGAAAGCCACGGCUAACUACGU
rnacentral:rRNA from 1 species